CCAACCCGAAAAUAGAGGGUUGGGUUACCAAUUCAAUAGACCCGACCUUUUGAGUUGGUCCAAAAAAAUUUCUCAACCCGACAACUCUAUUCCAAGCUCUAGGUUAUGUGAAGCAUUAAAUCCUGUCCACCCAAUUGCUAUCGUGUGCUUCUUAAGGGUGUUCAUGAGCUCUACUUCUUUAUUGGUGGAUAAUGUGGAUGAAAAAAUGACCGGUAAAGUGCCAUUUUCACCAAGAUAUGCAUACCAAGAUAUCCAAUCAUAUCUAACACAUUUUAUCCUUUCUCCGCUUGACUUUUUUUCUUUUCUCAGUUUUUAGCUCAGGUUCAACCUCGGUCAGAGAGGGAGACUAGCUCAGUUCUUUUCGGGUUCAACCUUGGUCGGCUUCGGUGGUGAAGUUAUUACUCUUCAUGGUCAAGUUACCAUUGGAACACUUAUCUUACAGGAUUGUGGUGUUGGUUUGUUAUUUGCCUUGCUC